ACGACUUUAGCGUCUAGUAUAAAAACGGUAAACAUGACAGAUGCAUUUAACGUCUGACGACUUUAACGUCUUCUUUUUAAGUGCGUCUCAAGGACGCACUUAACAGACGACUUUAACGUCCCAGACGCAUUUAC